CACUCUCCAUCAGAUUUACGCCUCACUUCAAGUCCUCCCACAUCAUCUUGGGCAAGGAUGGUCAAGGCACCAGGGUCCUUGUGUCGACCAACCCCAAGAGCUAGGUGUGGAGCAGGGCAAGGUGGAUAGUGGUUGAGCCUAAUGAAGGUGGUCUGUUCUUUGAAGAAGCCAUGGAACCUAUCUGGCUGCAAGCUUAAACUCAGGGCAAUAAGCUCCAUCAACGUAAAGGCGAGUCUUUCUAUUUCUUUAGCAUAAUCUUCACAGACUUCCCUGCUCACAGCAGUGCUUUGAAUUACAAUAUUACAUGCAUUAUUGGACGUAAAGAAAUCUAAUGUCGUAUGCAUAAAUCUUAUUAACACUCUUUAACUUUUAAUACUGCAAUCAAAUAAUUAAAAGUACAUUAGUUUUUAACAAAAUAAUUUCCUGAUCUAAUAUUUUUGCAAGAAAAACAUGCAUGUGACGGUGUCCUUUACCUCAGCUCAGGAUAAUACUCAGGCCAUUUAUUGUACCACUUGAUGAUCUCCCCUUCAUGAGGUUUACACGAAGCAUACAUUAAAAUUGGAUUUGGCGAAGCGAAAUCAAACACCUCUUUCCAGUCCCUAACAUUUUUGGUAUGCUCAGUGUCAUAGUAACCCGACAUACUUUUAUCAUCUCUCCUAAUCUUGUUUUUCUCCUCAACAGGCUGAGCAAAAAAUUCCUUUGAAGCAUUGAAAAUCUUUUCUCGCUUUUCCAGUGAUACCCCAUGAUUUAUCACUUGAAAAAACCCCCAGUCCCUGCAUGCGUUGCCUACCUGCUUAACAAGACCCUCGAGUGCUUGAGAGUGAUCUGGGGUGGCAUCGGAAGAGCUUAGUAUGGAGAGAUCAAUUAUGGGUAUCCCUUCGGCUUCAGUAAUUCCCAGUUUUGGCCUGUGUUCUUGUUCUUGAACGAAGGCUGGAUCCACAUCUCCCAUGGUGAUCUUUGGAUUUUAGCAGAAGGAAGUGGGUUUUUCUUCUUAUGGAAAAAGAUGGUGGGAGCCUCACAUUAUACGGUGCAGACUGUGAAUAAGUGGGAUAAGGCAAAAUGAAUCGAGAAAGAGCAUUGAUAUGAAAUGGAUAAAACUAUACAGUCCACUGGUGCAUAUGACCGCUCACUCUGAAAGGGUAGAUUUAAUAAUUAAUAAUUUAAGAAAAAAAAUUUAGUUUUUUAUUAGUGAAAAUGAACGUGCCGCUGCGUUUUAUAUUAGAGCAAUUUGGGCGCAGACAUAUUUCAUUGGGCAAAGCCGAAGACAAUUUUGCAUUGGGCAUUUGGGUAGCCUUCACCAGAUUGUUCUGCUGUAAUUGGGCCAAUUUUCAAUAGCAUUUGAUUUCCAUUCUUGCCUUCUUAUAUUUUGAUAUGAAUUUUUAAUUAUUAAAUACGUUUUUCAUAAAUAAAUAAUAAUUAAAGUUAGCUAAUCAUUUUGCAUAGACAUUACGUUGUUUUCUGGUGUGUGUGGUUGUUUCGGCCUGCUGUUGAGUUGCUUGUGACUCUGCUGCUUUUGGCCUGAUGGCUUCGUUGUGGGUGAUGCGGUGGCUUGUUUGUUUCGCCUUGCUGUCCGCAAAUAAUGGCUGUGAUGAGCGGUGCGAUGGUUGAUCGACUUUCUGAUUGCCUUUCUCGGUUCCUUCGGGCUGAUUUGAUUCUUCUCGGGUUGAGCUGGUUUUCUAAGUCCUUUCGAGCUGGUUCGAUUCUUCUCAGAUUGGGCUUAUAUUGUUGAAAAUUUUGAGGAUAUUUUACUUGCAUAUGAAUCUGUCAUGUUUAUUAGUGAUCACAACUUAAUCUAACUCUUCAUAAUUAAAAUAAACAGUACAAAUGGAAAGGCUCAUGUUGUUGUCGAUAUUUGAGCAUUAAAAGACAUUUAUAGCAGCAAAACAGUUCUGUUUAUUUGUAGCAAAUUCCAUUAUUCUAUGUACAAUAACAGUGCAGGAAAUCAUUGAAGAGAUGCAUCAAGCCUUCAUCCAAGAUGUUUUCCGUUUUUACAGAACGAGAAUUAAGGUGUUACUAACUCUUGAUCGACAACGCACCCUCUAAAUUUUCAGCUAAUUCUGAUACCCUGAAGUGAGAGAUUUGGAUGUUCUCAACAUCAAGCUUCUGAAAGUUACUACGCUUUCUGGUGGCAAAAAACUUCCCCCAAUUGUAAGGCUUAUAUUUUGCAGGGUUUUGCUCAUUUGCAAUCUUCUCAAAGGGCUUAAUAAUGGUGUCGUAUGCUGGAUUGAAGAAGUAUGGAACAGAAAAUCUUUCCUUCUCAGGGUUCACCUUCACUCUGUGCUCGACACUCUCAUAAGCCUCAUUGCUCCACACCUGCGUAUGCAAAGCCACAUCAAUUCCCAGAAACAAAGAAUGUGAAACAGGCAAAUUCAUGUAAGAGAUUGGGAUAUGGUACCUGAAUCAUGUCACCAACAUUGAUUAUGUAAGAAUUUGGAGUUGGCUUGACCCAAAUCCAUUCCCCAUCAGAUUUACGCUUCACUUCAAGUCCUCCCACGUCAUCUUGGGCAAGGAUGGUCAAGGCCCCAGCAUCCUUGUGCCGACCAACCCCAAGAGCUAGGUGAGGAGCUGGGCAAAGUGGAUAGUGGUUGAGCCUAAUGAAGGUGGUCUGGUCUUUGAAGAAGCCAUGGAAACUAUCUGGUUGCAAGCUUAGACUCAGGGAAAUAAGCUCCAUCAACGUAAAGGCAAGCUUUUCCAUUUCCUUAGCAUAAUCUUCACAAACUUCCCUGUUCAUGGCAGCGGAUUGAAUUACAAUAUUACAUGCAUUAUCGGGCCUAAAUCUUAUUUCUGGACAAGUUUUGAAGAAUUUACCUUAAAAUAAAAGCAGGAUUUUUUUGAAAUAAGAAUAUGGAGGCAUGGAUCUAAGUUUCAUUACCUCA
rnacentral:lncRNA from 1 species